CCUACGGGCGGCAGCAGUGGGGAAUAUUGGACAAUGGGGGCAACCCUGAUCCAGCCAUGCCGCGUGUGUGAAGAAGGCCCUCGGGUUGUAAAGCACUUUCAGUGAGGAAGAACGCCUGGUGGUUAAUACCCAUCAGGAAAGACAUCACUCACAGAAGAAGCACCGGCUAACUCCGUGCCAGCAGCCGCGGUAAUACGGAGGGUGCGAGCGUUAAUCGGAAUUACUGGGCGUAAAGCGCGCGUAGGUGGCUUGAUAAGCCGGUUGUGAAAGCCCCGGGCUCAACCUGGGAACGGCAUCCGGAACUGUGAAGCUAGAGUGCAGGAGAGGAAGGUAGAAUUCCCGGUGUAGCGGUGAAAUGCGUAGAGAUCGGGAGGAAUACCAGUGGCGAAGGCGGCCUUCUGGACUGACACUGACGCUGAGGUGCGAAAGCGUGGGUAGCAAACAGGAUUAGAUAUCCUAGUAGUC
rnacentral:rRNA from 1 species